UACGGAGGUGGCAAGCGUUGCUCGGAAUCACUGGGCGUAAAGGGCGCGUAGGCGGGGAGGUAAGUCGGGUGUGAAAUCCCUCGGCCCAACCGAGGAACUGCGCCCGAGACUGCUUCUCUUGAGUCCCGGAGAGGAAGAUGGAAUUCCCGGUGUAGCGGUGAAAUGUGUAGAGAUCGGGAGGAACACCGGUGGCGAAGGCGGUUCUCUGGGCCUGUACUGACGCUGAGGAGCGAAAGCGUGGGGAGCGAACAGG
rnacentral:rRNA from 1 species